GCCAGUGGCGGUUUAAAGGACGUGGUGGGAAGCCUGUGUGUGCUCGACUUCGUGACCCUCAUGGUCGCUCCGGUUUUUCACACCUGAAAAUAACAUAGCAAAAUAAGCCAAGAUGUCUGUGAAUCCAAUGACCUAUGAGGCCCAGUUCUUUGGCUUCAUGCCACAAACGUGCAUGCUUCGAAUUUACAUUGCAUUUCAAGACUACCUAUUUGAAGUGAUGCAGGCCGUUGAACAGGUUAUUCUGAAGAAGCUGGAUGGCAUCCCAGACUGUGACAUUAGCCCAGUGCAGAUUCGCAAAUGCACAGAGAAGUUUCUUUGCUUCAUGAAAGGACAUUUUGAUAACCUUUUUAGCAAAAUGGAGCAACUGUUUUUGCAGCUGAUUUUACGUAUUCCCUCAAACAUCUUGCUUCCUGAAGAUAAAUGUAAGGAGAUACCUUAUAGUGAGGAAGAUUUUCAGCGUCUCCAGAAAGAUUUUGAACAGUUACAGGAGAAGUACAAGACUGAAUUCAAAAUGUUGUCAGAGAUCAUGGGACUAGUGAUUUUAGGGAGAGUUUAGUGUCCCUGGUUCAGAACUCCAGAAAACUACAGAAUAUUAGAGACAGUGUGGAAAAGGAAUCGAAACGACUGAAAAUAUCUUAAUUGCUCAGUAGUCAAAAGGAGGAGCCUGUCAAAAAGUAGAAUCAUAAGGAAUUUAUACCAGUGACUGUUCAAACCAACCAUACUUUUUAUUAGAUUUGCUUUGUCAAGUCUUUCUUGUAUUCUGUGUCUUCCUCUCUUUUGGUCCACUUUCCUGAGGUAUGUGUGUACUACUUUGAACU